UAUGUAGGGUGCAAGCGUUGUCCGGAAUUAUUGGGCGUAAAGAGCUCGUAGGCGGUUUGUCGCGUCUGCUGUGAAAACUCGGGGCUUAACUCCGGGCCUGCAGUGGGUACGGGCAGACUAGAGUGCGGUAGGGGAGACUGGAAUUCCUGGUGUAGCGGUGAAAUGCGCAGAUAUCAGGAGGAACACCGGUGGCGAAGGCGGGUCUCUGGGCCGUAACUGACGCUGAGGAGCGAAAGCGUGGGGAGCGAACAGG
rnacentral:rRNA from 1 species